rnacentral:rRNA from 1 species
CGCCUGUUUAUCAAAAACAUGGCUUUAGGAUAGUUAUAUCUAAGGUUAUACCUGCCCAAUGUACAAAUGGGAUCAAUGGCCGCGGUACUUUGACCGUGCUAAGGUAGCGUAAUCAGUUGGCUCUUAAUUAGGGUCAGGAAUGAAUGGAGUCACGUGGUUCGACUGUCUUCCAAAUAUUUAAUUGAAGUUACUAUAUAGAUGAAAAAGUCUAUAGUUAGAAAAAAGACGAGAAGACCCUUAGAGUUUUACUUAAUGUGGUUGUGUAAUAAUCAUAAUAGUUUUGUUGGGGCAACAUGGGAGCACAAUAUAUUUGGAUAAUCUCCUAAAUUAUACUAACCGACUAUUUUAAAUUCGAAGAAACUACCUUAGGGAUAACAGCAUUAUGUAAAAAAUAAGUUUGUGACCUCGAUGUUGGACUGGGAAAUUUAAAGGCUAGCCGUUUUUAAAGAAAGUUCUGUUCGAACUAUUAUUCCCACGUGAUCUGAGUUUUAGACCGG